rnacentral:rRNA from 1 species
GACGUAGGAUGCAAGCGUUGUCCGGAUUUAUUGGGCGUAAAGAGUUCGUAGGCGGUUCGUUAAGUCUGAUGUUAAAGACUGGGGCUCAACCUCGGAAAUGCAUUGGAUACUGGCGGACUGGAGUACAGUAGAGGCAAGCGGAAUUCCCAGUGUAGCGGUGAAAUGCGUAGAUAUUGGGAAGAACACCGGUGGCGCAAGCGGCUUGCUGGGCUGUAACUGACGCUGAGGAACGAAAGCUAGGGUAGCGAAUGGG